rnacentral:rRNA from 1 species
AUGGCGCCCGUUGUGGAGCGCGCGUCAUCGGCGCCGCACUUUCUCGUGGUGACGUACCCGGCGCAGGGCCACAUCAACCCGGCGCGGCACCGCGCUGCGCCAGGCGCCCGUGUCACCGUCUCCACCGCCGUGUCCGCCUGCCGCAAGAUGUUCUCGGACCACGCGGACGCGGCGGCGGUGGACCAUGUCGACGGCGCCGGCGUCCGCUACGUGCCCUUCUCCGACGGCUUCGACGCCGGCUUCGACGGGGACAUCACGGACUACAUAUCGAGCCUCAAGGCUGUGGGUCCCCGCACGCUGGACAGCGUGCUCGCGCGCCUCCGCGACGCCGGCACCCCCGUCACGCAGCUGGUGUACACGCAGGUCGUCUCCUGGGCCGCCGACGUCGCGCGCGCGCACGGCGUGCCCGCGGUGCUCUACUGGAUCCAGCAGGCCACCGUGCUCGCCGCCUACUUCCACUUCUUGCGCGGCACCGACAGUCUCGACCAGGCCGUCGCCGCGGCGGCGAGCAACCCGUGGGCGGACAUUCGCGUCCGAGGGCUCCCGCCGAUGCGCGUGCGUGACCUGCCGCAGGGGCGGAGCACCGGCGACGACCACCACACCUACGCCUUCAUGCUACGCGACAUGCGCGAGCUGCUCGACGUGCUGGGCCGCGAGGACACGCCUACCGUGCUCGCGAACACGUUCCACGCCAUGGAGCCCGACGCGGUGGCGACGCUGAGCCAGAGCGGCAUCCACGUCGUCCCCAUCGGCCCCGUGCUCUCCUUCCUGGAUGCCUCGGCGGCGUCGGCCAGCAACAACAACAACAACAACGACCUGUUCAAGCUGGACGGCAAGGGGUACCUGGAGUGGCUGGACGCGCAGGCAGCGGGGUCGGUGGUGUACAUCUCCUUCGGGAGCUCGUCCGCGAUGAGCAAGCGGCAAAUCACUGAGGUGGCGCGCGGCAUGGCGGAGAGCGGCCGGCUGUUCUUGUGGGUGCUGAGGAAGGACAACCGCAGCGAGGUCGACGGCGACGAGCUGAAGCUGUGCGCCGGCGGUGGCAUGGCGGUGGAGUGGUGCGACCAGGCAAAGGUGCUGUCGCACCCGGCGGUGGGGUGCUUCGUGACGCACUGCGGAUGGAACUCGACGCUGGAGAGCGUUGCGUGCGGCGUGCCGGUAGUCGGAGUGCCGCAAUGGACGGACCAGGGCACCAACGCGUGGCUCGUGGAGCGGCAGCUCGGCACCGGGGUAAGGGCCGCCGUGAUCAGCGACAAGGACGGCGUGCUAGAGGCUGGCGAGCUGCGGAGGUGCAUCAGCUUCGUCACAUUGGAUGUUGUGCGCGCCAUGGCGGAGCUGUGGAAGGAAAAGGCACGGGGGGCGGCGGCCGUGGGCGGCUCACCUCAGGGCGUUCGUUGCCGGGGAGGUCGCCCUCGCCGGCAACUAGCCAGCCGGCUGGUAGGCCACCUUGCAUGCAUGGCAUUGUUCUGCAAACAGACAGAAGGACGACGUACAUACGAGACGAGACGACUUGCUCCGUACCGUACUGUCGACGUUGCAUCUGUUAGGACAACUGAAAAAAAUAGCGCCCUAUAUCCUCGCUAA